GGUAGUUAACACGUUAGUAACCUGCCUUAUUGGGAUAACUUCAGGAAACUGGGGCUAAUACCGGAUAGAGCUCCUGCUGCAUGGUGGGGGUUGGAAAGUUUCGGCGGUUGGGGAUGGACUCGCGGCUUAUCAGCUUGUUGGUGGGGUAGUGGCUUACCAAGGCUUUGACGGGUAGCCGGCCUGAAGGGUGACCGGCCACAUUGGGACUGAGAUACGGCCCAACUCCUACGGGAGGCAGCAGUGGGGAAUAUUGCACAAUGGGCGGAAGCCUGAUGCAGCAACGCCGCGUGCGGGAUGACGGCCUUCGGGUUGUAAACCGCUUUCGCCUGUGACGAAGCGUGAGUGACGGUAAUGGGUAAAGAAGCACCGGCUAACUACGUGCCAGCAGCCGCGGUGAUACGUAGGUGCGAGCGUUGUCCGGAUUUAUUGGGCGUAAAGGGCUCGUAGGUGGUUGAUCGCGUCGGAAGUGUAUCUUGGGGCUUAACCCUACGUGCUUUCGAUACGGGGUUUGACUUGAAGGGAAGGGUAGGGGGGAGAAAUUGGAAUUCCUGGUGGAGCGGGUGGGAAAUGCGCCAGAAUUUUCAGGAAGGGAAACACCAG
rnacentral:rRNA from 1 species